rnacentral:rRNA from 1 species
UACAGAGGAUGCAAGCGUUAUCCGGAAUUAUUGGGCGUAAAGCGUCUGUAGGUGGCUUUUUAAGUCCGCCGUCAAAUCCCAGGGCUCAACUCUGGACAGGCGGUGGAAACUACCAAGCUGGAGUACGGUAGGGGCAGAGGGAAUUCCCGGUGUAGCGGUGAAAUGCGCAGAUAUCAGGAGGAACACCAAUAGCGAAGGCAGCUCGCUGGGACGUUACUGACACUGAGGCGCGAAAGCGUGGGGAGCGAACAGG